rnacentral:rRNA from 1 species
UACGUAGGUGGCAAGCGUUGUCCGGAUUUACUGGGCGUAAAGAGCGCGCAGGCGGUCGUUUAAGUCGAAUGUGAAAGCCCCCGGCUCAACUGGGGAGGGUCAUUCGAUACUGAUCGACUCGAAGGCAGGAGAGGGAAGUGGAAUUCCCGGUGUAGUGGUGAAAUGCGUAGAUAUCGGGAGGAACACCAGUGGCGAAGGCGACUUCCUGGCCUGUUCUUGACGCUGAGGCGCGAAAGCUAGGGGAGCAAACGGG